rnacentral:pre_miRNA from 1 species
GUAGUAUUCCCUCCGUCUCAAAAUUCUUGUCUUACAUUUGUUUAGAUACAAAUGUAUCUAACACUAAAAUGUAACUAGAUACAUCCGUAUUUAGACAAAUUUAAGACAAGUAUUUUGGGACGAAGGGAGUACAAA